GAUGAAGAACGCAGCGAAAUGCGAUACUUGGUGUGAAUUGCAGAAUCCCGUGAACCAUCGAGUCUUUGAACGCAAGUUGUGCCCGAAGCCAUUAGGCCGAGGGCACGCCUGCCUGGGCGUCACACGUCGUUGCCCCCCCCAUCUACUCCUUCGGGAUUGCGGGGGGCGGAUGAUGGCCUCCCGUGUGCCUCGCCGCGCGGUUGGCAUAAAUGCCAAGUCCUCGGCGACGCACGCCACGACAAUCGGUGGUUGCGAAACCUCGGUUGCCCGUCGUGUGCGGUCGUCGCGCAUCGAGGGCUCGAAAAAAUUGCCGGGUUCCGGCUCGGCUUUCAACGCGACCCCAGGUCAGGCGGGGUUACCCGCUGAAUUUAAGCAUAUCAAUAAGCGGAGGA
rnacentral:misc_RNA from 1 species